GGACCCGACUGCUAUCAAAGUGGGACUAACCCAUGCGAGUCAACAUAGCAAUAUGUGGCAUACGGCUCAUUAACACGUAGUCAACAUGCCCAGGGGACGUGAAUAACCUCGGGAAACUGAGGAUAAACCGCGAUAGGUCAUCACUUCUGGAAUGGGUAAUGACUUAAAUCUAUAUGGCCCCUGAAUUGGACUGCGGCCAAUCAGGCUGUUGGUGAGGUAAUGGCCCACCAAACCUGUAACCGGUACGGGCUCUGAGAGGAGGAGCCCGGAAAUGGGCACUGAGACAAGGGCCCAGGCCCUAUGGGGCGCAGCAGGCGCGAAACCUCUGCAAUAGGCAAAAGCUUGGCAGGGUUACUCUGAGUGAUUUCCGUUAAGGAGAUCUUUUGGCACCUCUAAAAAUGGUGCAAAAUAAGGGGUGGGCAAGUCUGGUGU
rnacentral:rRNA from 1 species